CGCACCUUGCGCUCCUUGGUAUUCCGAGGAGCAUGCCUGUUUGAGUGUCGUGAAAUCCUCAAGCCGUGCCGUUUGCUGUUUACAGUUCGGUACGGUUUGGACUUGGGGGUCUAUCGAUGUCGUCCUCGCGGAUGGCUCCCCUGGAAUGCAUUGGCUCGAGGUUGGCUCGUGGCGGUUCACGGCGUGAUAAGAAAUGAAAGUUACGUCCUGAUAAUCCCGCGGCGCGUCAGAUGGCCUCGGGCUGGCCGGCGACGAUCUCUUUUGAUGUCGUGCACUCUUUGACUUUGACCUCAAAUCAGGCAGGACUACCCGCUGAACUUAA
rnacentral:misc_RNA from 1 species